rnacentral:tRNA from 1 species
GGGCUUGUAACGCAAACGUCGGCGAACAUCAGCAAAUGUAAGAUAGUCAACGAUUGCGCGUUUCGAUCGGCCGCUCAUAACGGUCUGGUUGCAGGUUCGAGUCCUGCCGGGCCCACCA